CGCCUCUUUAUCAAAAACAUCGCCUCCUGCAACUAAACUGAGUAUAGGAGGUCCAGCCUGCCCAGUGACUACGGGUUCAACGGCCGCGGUAUUUUGACCGUGCAAAGGUAGCGCAAUCACUUGUCUUUUAAAUAGAGACCUGUAUGAAUGGCUAAACGAGGGCUUAGCUGUCUCCCCCUUCCAGUCAGUGAAAUUGAUCUAUCCGUGCAGAAGCGGGUAUAAAACUACAAGACGAGAAGACCCUUUGGAGCUUAAGGUACAAAAUCCAACCACGUCAAGAAACUCAGUAAAAAGUAAGAACUUAGUGGAUCGUGGAAAUUUACCUUCGGUUGGGGCGACCACGGAGGAAAGACCAGCCUCCGAGUGGAAUGGGUUAAAUUCCUAAAACCAAGAGAGACACCUCUAAGCCACAGAACAUCUGACCAAUAAAUGAUCCGGCCUAUAAAGCCGAUCAACGAACCAAGUUACCCUAGGGAUAACAGCGCAAUCCUCUCCCAGAGUCCAUAUCGACGAGGGGGUUUACGACCUCGAUGUUGGAUCAGGACAUCCUAAUGGUGCAGCCGCUAUUAAGGGUUCGUUUGUUCAACGAUUAAAGUCCUACGUGAUCUGAGUUCAGACCGG
rnacentral:rRNA from 1 species